rnacentral:rRNA from 1 species
AAUCAACGCUGGCGGCGUGCCUAACACAUGCAAGUCGAACGCGAAAGCCCCUUCGGGGGUAAGUAGAGUGGCGUCCGGGUGAGUAACACGUAGGUAAUCUGCCUUCGGGUGGGGAAUAACCAGUCGAAAGAUUGGCUAAUACCGCAUAAUGCAGCGGCACCUAAUGGUGAUUAGUUGUUAAAGCGGGGGAUCGUAAGACCUCGCGCCUGAAGAGGAGCCUGCGGCAGAUUAGCUAGUGGUGAGGUAAUGGCUCACCAAGGCUUCGAUCUGUAGCUGGUCUGAGAGGACGGCCAGCCACACUGGCACUGACACACGGGCCAGACUCCUACGGGAGGCAGCAGUGGGGAAUUUUGGACAAUGGGGCAACCCUGAUCCAGCCAUGCCGCGUGAGUGAAGAAGGCC